rnacentral:rRNA from 1 species
UACGAAGGGGGCUAGCGUUGCUCGGAAUCACUGGGCGUAAAGCGCACGUAGGCGGCUUUUUAAGUCAGGGGUGAAAUCCUGGAGCUCAACUCCAGAACUGCCUCCGAUACUGAAGAGCUAGAGUCCGGAAGAGGUGAGUGGAACUGCGAGUGUAGAGGUGAAAUUCGUAGAUAUUCGCAAGGACACCAGUGGCGAAGGCGGCUCACUGGUCCGGUACUGACGCUGAGGCGCGAAAGCGUGGGGAGCAAACAGG